rnacentral:rRNA from 1 species
UACGUAGGGUGCGAGCGUUAAUCGGAAUUACUGGGCGUAAAGCGUGCGCAGGCGGCUUUGCAAGACAGAUGUGAAAUCCCCGGGCUUAACCUGGGAACUGCAUUUGUGACUGCAUGGCUGGAGUGCGGCAGAGGGGGAUGGAAUUCCGCGUGUAGCAGUGAAAUGCGUAGAUAUGCGGAGGAACACCGAUGGCGAAGGCAAUCCCCUGGGCCUGCACUGACGCUCAUGCAUGAAAGCGUGGGGAGCAAACAGG